rnacentral:rRNA from 1 species
GAUGAACGCUGGCGGCGUGCCUAAUACAUGCACGUCGAGCGAACAGACGAGGAGCUUGCUCCUCUGACGUUAGCGGCGGACGGGUGAGUAACACGUGGAUAACCUACCUAUAAGACUGGGAUAACUUCGGGAAACCGGAGCUGAUACCGGAUAAUAUAUUGAACCGCAUGGUUCAAUAGUGAAAGACGGUUUUGCUGUCACUUAUAGAUGGAUCCGCGCCGCAUUAGCUAGUUGGUAAGGUAACGGCUUACCAAGGCAACGAUGCGUAGCCGACCUGAGAGGGUGAUCGGCCACACUGGAACUGAGACACGGUCCAGACUCCUACGGGAGGCAGCAGUAGGGAAUCUUCCGCAAUGGGCGAAAGCCUGACGGAGCAACGCCGCGUGAGUGAUGAAGGUCUUCGGAUCGUAAAACUCUGUUAUUAGGGAAGAACAAAUGUGUAAGUAACUAUGCACGUCUUGACGGUACCUAAUCAGAAAGCCACGGCUAACUACGUG